rnacentral:rRNA from 1 species
AAUGAACGCUGGCGGCGUGCUUAACACAUGCAAGUCGUACGAGAAAUCCUUGGCUUGCCAGGGAGAGUAAAGUGGCGCACGGGUGAGUAUCGCGUGGGUAAUCUACCCUUGAAUUCAGGAUAACAUUUCGAAAGGGGUGCUAAUACUGGAUAAAAUCCUGAUGGUUUAGGCCAUAAGGAUCAAAGAUAGCCUCUACAUGUAAGCUAUUGUUUAGGGAUGAGCCCGCGUACCAUUAGCUAGUUGGUGGGGUAAGAGCCUACCAAGGCAACGAUGGUUAGCUGGUCUGAGAGGAUGAUCAGCCACACUGGAACUGAAACACGGUCCAGACUCCUACGGGAGGCAGCAGUGAGGAAUUUUGCGCAAUGGGGGAAACCCUGACGCAGCAACGCCGCGUGAGUGAAGAAGGCUUUCGGGUCGUAAAGCUCUGUCAAGAGGGAAGAAAGUGGGAGAUGGUAAUACUGUUUUCUAUUGACGGUACCUCUGAAGGAAGCACCGGCUAACUCCGUGCCAGCAGCCCGCGGUAAUACGGGGGGUGCAAGCGUUAUUCGGAUUUAUUGGGCGUAAAGAGCGCGUAGGCGGUUUAUCAAGUCAGAUGUGAAAGCCCUGGGCUCAACCUGGGAAGUGCAUUUGAAACUAGUAGGACUUG